UGAGUGUCUGUGUUUCUUCGCCGGGUGCGGUGGCGCGCGCCUAUAAUCCAAGCUACCGGGAGGCUGAGGCUGGCGGAUCGUUUGAGCUCAGGAGCUCUGUGCUGCAGCGGACUAUGCCGAGCGGGUGUCCGCACUAAGUUCGGUAUCGAUAUGGGUGCUCCUGGGGGAGCCCGGGACCACCAGGUCGUCUAAGGAGGGGUGCACCGGCCCAGGUCGGAAACGGAGCAGGUCAAAGCCCCCGUGCCGCUCAGUAGUGGGAUCGCGCCCGUGAGUAGACGCUGUAGCGCAGCCUGAGUAAUACAGCGAGACCCAGUCUUUUUACACUCAGCUCUACACUACUGUCACAACACACACACACACACACACACAUUAUAUCUUUACACCAACACAACAGCUUCAUCGCUGCUUCUUUAUCUUCUUGUUCCCGUCAGAACCUGCACACACCUGCUCAUCUGCUGCUCCUACACCACCUCCACCUGGAGGACAGCAGCUACUACACCAACCACACUCACCACUGCUCCUCAUGGAAGAGAAUACGCUUUUAUUGUCACUGUACAGUUAAGUACAACAAAAUUGUGGGUUUAUCUUCGUGGAGUCCUGCAGGUGGAGACAAACUAAAACUAUAAACAUUAAAGAGUUUCCUGUCGAGUUACUCAUGAACACACUUUUCCAUUCAGUGUUUUAAUGGAGAUAGUUUCGUUCUCUUUUGGUCAUUGAUCCAAGUAUCUGCAGAAUUGUAAUUUAUCAAUUAUAAACAUUAUUUUCAGUGUUUGAUUUUCAGGGCAGCAUUCAUUUAAACUUGAAUCAAAACGCCAAGGCUUAUAUAACAUGUACCUUUCUGACACUGCUUCCUCUGUUCUAGUAAAAGGUGGGUCCGUUUAGACCCACCUUGAAUCAUCAGAAACUUUCCUACAAGCUUUCUCUUUUUGCCUUCGUUUCAAGGAUCUUACAAACAAACAAGUCCAUCCUGCUUUCAGUAGUGCCAAAAUCCAAAAAGCAAUGCUAGGCGGAACAGAGUCAGCUGGCGUUUUUUUUUUUCUGCCGUUGUUGGCUUGCGUGUGUUGUCAUUGGUCACGAUCUUCUGGGAGGAGCGCAGAGAGGCGGAGAAACGACGCCGGAAAACAGAUUUAAACCAAACUGUUUGAAACGUUGCUUUGGUUUGUCAGUACGGUGAGAAAAUACCGAAGCCUGGAUGCUAAAACAAGCUUUGGAGUUGCUUUUUUUUUGUCGAAAACGAGUGAGGUUGGACGCUGAAUACACAUGCGGCGUGAAGGUAAGGCAAAGGAGCGAACUAACUAGUGGCUAGCGUUAGCAUUUACGGUAGCGUCGAGCGUUAGCAUUAGCCUCUUUUAAUGAACUGCUCUGACCUUCAGUCGUUUUUAUCGCGUGGGUAAGAGCGUGUUUGUUUGUUGUUGGUUCUUAAGGAUAUGAUGCUUUUUCUUGUGAUAUGUGACAGUAAACAGCCUAUUUUCUGAAACACUCCUAUUAUAUAUAUUGGGUUCACGAGAACGAGAGAUUUUAAUGCUAUCUUUAACUUCAGUUAUGAAUAUAUGAAUGCUCAUACAAAGAGCGCAGCAAUGUGUCCACAGAUGCAAACUGAACAGUACUACGUGUAUGACUGACUUAAUGUGAAACUAAUAAGACAGAACAGCCAUAAACAGUAAAAUUAGUGGAGUGUUCACUACUAUUGAUGUAAGAAGCAGCCAUCUUGGAUUCUUAUGUCGGGGUUGGUGGGUUGCUCCAACUUUCUCGGUUGGAAAUCCGAUUUCAUGGGACGUUCCGGUUGACUAGGAACUCAGAUAUUCCAACUUCUAAGCACAACUGGAACACAACAUAAUUUCAUUGGUUAUGCUAGUGGCAGCUUGAUACGGCGUCAUGAAACAGAUUUUCACCUUGCCAUGUCAUGUUUUAAUAGCGCGAGAUCUCGUCACACAUUUGUUUGGACUUGAUGCUGGAUUGAGCACAGUUUGGUGUUAAAGGCUUGCAAACUACAUUUUGACUCUGUGAUUUACAUUGCUUUUAUCCUUUAGGUCAGUCAAGUUUUAUUUGUAACUGUCAAGGCUUUAGUGUUUAGUUUUUGUGUUCUCCCACACUGUUUGGGUUGUAGUGGUAAAAAGUUUCCAUUACUAUUUCGUAUUAGUUAAUCAGUGUCAAGUGCUGUAUGUGUGUUUUCCAGGUCUACUUGUUCAGCUGUUCAAGCUUGGACAGAGACACCAACAUCACCUUACAGAACAACAGAUGUCACCACUUUGUCCAGGACAUCAUCCACAAUCGCAGAGACAUGGUCCAUGAUCAGAGAGACAUUGUUGAGGAUGAGGGAGACAUCGCCCCCUGUCCAUGAUCGCAGAGACCUUGUCAAAGAUGAGAGAGACGUUGUCCGUGAUCAGAGACAUUGUCCAUGCUUCGUAGAGACCUUGCGAUAGAAUUGGCGGAGACGGGGGUCACCGAUUUGACGGCAUUGCCUGCGAUCAGGGACAUUGUCCAUGACCACAGAUAAACCGUCUAUGAUAUCAGAGACAUCGUCCACAAUCACAAAGACAUAGUCCAUGAUCGCAGAGACAUUGUCCAUAAUCUCAGAGACAUUGUCCAUGAUCACAGAGACCUAGUCCACAAUCACAGAGAGUCUUCGUACAAUGAAGAAGUUCUUUCAAACCAAGACAGAGGCCCCCAGAUGUCACCACUUCGUCCAGGACAUCGUCCACAAUCGCAGACAUGGUCCAUGAUCAGAGAGACAUUGUUGAGGAUGAGGGAGACAUCGUCCAUGAGCAGAGACAUUGUCCAUGAUCGCAGAGACAUCCGCGAUCACAGAGCCGUAGUCCACAAUCACAGAGAUGUAGUCCAAGAUCACAGAGAGUCUUUGUACAAGUGAAGUUCUUUCAGACCAAGACAGAGGCCUCCAGGUGUCACCACUUCAUCCACGUUCGCAUUCAGAAAGCCAUUGUCGAUGAUCACAGAGACACCGUCUAUGAUCUCAGAGACAUCAUCUACGAUUAUAAGACACAAUAUAAGACAUUGUCCAUGAUUGCAGAGAUGUAGUCCAGGGUUAGAGAGUGUGUUUGUACAAGGAAGUUCUUUGAGACCAGGACAGAGGCCUCCAGGUAAUUCACAAACAGCUUUACAUCAACUGUCCAACACAGAGCACUGACACUAAAUUGUUUAUGUUCAGCAAUAAGUAUCAGAAAAGUGUAAUAAUAGAAGUAAUCUGCAAUAUAAAAAUAAUGUAUAAAAUAAUAAGUAAUGUAAAAGUAAUUAGCCAUAUCAGAAGUAAAGUGUAAGAGAAAGUAAUCUGUCACUAGAUGUAGUUUGCAACAGUAAAAGUUAUCUGUGAAUUUAGAAGUAAUAUAUAAUAAGAAAAGCAAUAUAUCUUCAGUUUGAUUGUACAUGAUCAGAAAUUCUUAAUUAUGUGUAUGUGCCUGACAUACUAGACAACACCAUAUAAAACAAUAUAAAUUCUACAAAUACAAUAUUGGAGUGAGUUGAUCAUUUUCCUUUGUAUCUUUCUCUUUGAUUUCCUCCACUUCAUCCUGUCACUGUCACUACUUCAUCCAUGACAUCAUCCAUGAUUGCAGAGAUGUCAUAAAUUUGUAAAAAAAAAAAAAAAAAGGAAUAUGAAAUGUGAAAAGUAAUCUAAUACUAGAGGUAACAGUAAAAGUAAUGUGUAAUAUAAAAGUAUGCAGAAAUUAUAGUAAUCCAAAAUAGAAGAAAAAAUGUCCAAUUUUAGUACAGCAUCAAAAAAUGUCAUAGUAUAAUAAGGCAACAUAAAUUGUAAAAAAAAAAAAUAUAUAAUAAGACAUAAAAACUGAGUGAAAAUUUGUCAUUUGAAAAACGUUUUGUUUUUUUUUUGUUUGUGGGAAAACUUGACAUCACCGUUUUUGGUGACGGCGACAGGCGGCAGGUCAUCGUUUGGAGUGAAAAAAGGUCAAAAUUUCAGGUCUAGAUUUUUCACCUAAAAACUACUCAGGGGCAUGUUUUAUGUCAUUUGAAGUGGAUUUGGACAGGUUUUGAGUGAAUUCUUUGACAAAGUUGACACCACAAUUUUUGAUGUGUGCGACAGGCGGCGGGUCAUCGUUUGGAGUGAAAAAAGGUCA